rnacentral:tRNA from 1 species
GGACACUUAGCUCAGUGGUAGAGCGUUCCGUUCACAUCGGAAAGGUCACAGGUUCGAGCCCUGUAGUGUCCA